UACGUAGGGGGCAAGCGUUGUCCGGAUUUAUUGGGCGUAAAGAGCGUGUAGGCGGCCAGGUAGGUCAGCUGUGAAAACUCGAGGCUCAACCUCGAGACGUCGGUUGAAACCACCUGGCUAGAGUCCGGAAGAGGAGAGUGGAAUUCCUGGUGUAGCCGGUGGAAAUGCGCAGAUAUCAGGAAGAACACCCGUGGCGAAGGCGGCUCUCUGGGACGGUACUGACGCUGAGACGCGAAAGCGUGGGGAGCGAACAGG
rnacentral:rRNA from 1 species